rnacentral:misc_RNA from 1 species
AUAGAACGGAGUGCUGUAAGCAGUAGAGUAGCCUUGUUGCUACGAUCUGCUGAGGCUCAGCUCUUGUUCUACAGAUUUGUGCUUUAGCACUCUCUCCGGUUGCACUAGAGUGGGGCAGUGUACUGUACACACUCUUGAGCCAUCGUAGACAGUGACUUGAUGCAUGAGACCCAUGGGUUGUAGCGUCCAAGUUGACCAGGUGUGGCCUAGGCUGGACUUUGGUUGAAAUAUUACAAGUAUGGCAACAGGGUGUGGCAGUGCCUCAAAGGUUGAAUUUAAUAGUCCAAUCUAUUACCCGGCCGGCCAUAUUGGUGGACCAAGUACUUAGUAGAAGGCUAGAGUAGGUCAGAGUUAGAGUGCAGCACUUAAACGUGCUGCGCUACUAGGUGCCGGGCUGUGGGCCGUGAGGUUUAUAAGCCGUUAAACAGUAUACUAGUAUCUACGGCCAUAGGACUGAGAAAAUACCGCAUCCCGU